UGAGUUGAACACUUCAUGACUGAGAGCUGUCCUUCAUGACAACAGAACCCACAACAACCAUGACUUUUAUCACCAUCUUUAUCUGGACACUUGCUUUCUGCUUCAAGGAAUCUAGAGGACAGAUCACUGUGACUCAGACACCUACAGUGAAAACUGUUCUCCCCGGACAGCCAGUCUCUAUGAACUGUAAAACCAGCAGUGAUGUGUAUCCUGAUUGUUGGAGUUCAGGUAAACCGUGUUUAGCCUGGUAUCAACAGAAACCUGGAGAAACUCCUAAACUACUGGUCUACUAUGGAAGCACCCUCUUCUCUGGGACUCCAUCUAGAUUCAGUGGCAGUGGAUCUGGGAGUGACUUCACUCUGACCAUCAGUGGAGUCCAGGCUGAAGAUGCAGGAGAUUACUACUGUCAGAGUUUACACAUCCCCAAUAGUAAAUAUGUGUUCACACAGUGAUACAGAGUCGUACAAA